rnacentral:rRNA from 1 species
CAGCCGUAAACAAUGUGCGUUAGGUGUGUCGGUAACCACGCGUUACUGAUGCGCCGAAGAGAAAUCGUGAAACGCACCACCUGGGAAGUACGGUCGCAAGGCUGAAACUUAAAGGAAUUGGCGGGGGAGCACCACAACAGGUGGAGCGUGCGGUUUAAUUGGAUUCAACACCGUAAAACUCACCAGGGAAGACUGUUACAUGAAGGCCGAGAUGAAGACUCUGCUAGAUUUUCAGAGAGGUGGUGCAUGGCGUCAGUGACU